GACGAACGCUGGCGGCGUGCCUAAUACAUGCAAGUCGAGCGGAUGGAAGGAAGCUUGCUUCCUAAAGUCAGCGGCGGACGGGUGAGUAACACGCGGGCAACCUGCCCCUAAGAUCGGGAUAACUUCGGGAAACCGGAGCUAAUACCGGAUAUGAUUAUGUCUCACAUGAGACAUAAUGGAAAGACGGUUUCGGCUGUCACUUAGGGAUGGGCCCGCGGCGCAUUAGCUAGUUGGUGAGGUAACGGCUCACCAAGGCGACGAUGCGUAGCCGACCUGAGAGGGUGAUCGGCCACACUGGGACUGAGACACGGCCCAGACUCCUACGGGAGGCAGCAGUAGGGAAUCUUCCGCAAUGGACGAAAGUCUGACGGAGCAACGCCGCGUGAGUGAAGAAGGUUUUCGGAUCGUAAAACUCUGUUGUUAGGGAAGAACAAGUACCAUAGUAACUGAUGGUACCUUGACGGUACCUAACUAGAAAGCCACGGCUAACUACGUGCCAGCAGCCGCCGCCGUAA
rnacentral:rRNA from 1 species